CCUACGGGUGGCAGCAGGGGGGAAUAUUGCACAAUGGGGGAAACCCUGAUGCAGCGACGCCGCGUGAGUGAAGAAGGAUUUCGGGAGGUAAAGCUCUAUCAGCAGGGAAGAAAAUGACGGUACCUGAUUAAGAAGCCCCGGCUAACUACGUGCCAGCAGCCGCGGUAAGACGUAGGGGGCAAGCGUUAUCCGGAUUUACUGGGUGUAAAGGGAGCGUAGACGGCAGCACAAGUCUGGAGUGAAAUGCCGGGGCUUAACCCCGGAACUGCUUUGGAAACUGUGCAGCUAGAGUGCAGGAGAGGUAAGUGGAAUUCCUAGUGUAGCGGUGACAUGCGUAGAUCUUAGGAGGAACACCAGUGGCGAAGGCGGCUUACUGGACUGUAACUGACGUUGAGGCUCGACAGCGUGGGGAGCAAACAGGAUUAGCUACCCGUGUAGUC
rnacentral:rRNA from 1 species